rnacentral:rRNA from 1 species
UUCCGGGUGAUCCCGCCGGACCCGACUGCUAUCGGAUUGAGAUUUAGCCAUGCGAGUCGAACGUCCCCCUGUUGCGGGGGGCGUGGCGUACGGCUCAGUAACACGUAGUCAACCUGCCCUGGAGACAAGGACAACCCCGGGAAACUGGGAUUAAUCCUUGAUAGGUCAUCUCAUCUGGAAGGAGAGAUGGCUUAAAGGGGUACGCGGGCUUCUUCCGCGAAUUCGCUCCAGGAUGGGACUGCGUCCGAUCAGGCUGUUGGCGGGGUAAUGGCCCACCAAACCUGUAACCGGUACGGGCCUUGAGAGAGGUGGCCCGGAGAUGGACACUGAGAGAAGGGUCCAGGUCCUACGGGGCGCAGCAGGCGCGAAACCUUCGCAAUGCGCGAAAGCGUGACGAGGUUAAUCCGAGUGAUUUCCGCUGCGGAGAUCUUUUGUCAGCUGUAAAUAGGCAGGCGAAUAAGGGGAGGGCAAGCCUGGUGUCAGCCGCCGCGGUAAUACCAGCUCCUCGAGUGGUCGGGGCGAUUAUUGGGCCUAAAGCAUCCGUAGCCGGUUCCGUAGGUCCUCUGUUAAAUCCAACCGCUUAACGGUUGACCUGCAGAGGAUACCGCGGGACUAGGAGGCGGGAGAGGCGGACGGUAUUCCGCGUGUAGGGGUAAAAUCCUUUGAUCCGCGGAGGACCACCAGUGGCGAAGGCGGUCCGCCAGAACGCGCUCGACGGUGAGGGAUGAAAGCUGGGGGAGCGAACCGGAUUAGAUACCCGGGUAGUCCCAGCCGUAAACGAUGCUAGCUAGAUGAUUCAUUCGCAAGUCGCGAAUGAAGUGUCGCAGGGAAGCCGUUAAGCUAGCCGCCUGGGGAGUACGGUCGCAAGACUGAAACUUAAAGGAAUUGGCGGGGGAGCA